rnacentral:lncRNA from 1 species
GGAGGAAACAGAGAAAGAAGAAAGAAGAAAAAAAGCAAAGGCAAAAAAAAAAAAAAAAAAAAAAAAAAAAAAACAAAAAGAGACCAAAAGAGAGCAGCAGAAGUGUCUGUGCACACCAACUCUGCAGAAGGGCUGCACACACCGCCUGCACACAGAGCUGCAGUGGUGGAUCUCCAGCAGUGCUCUCCCGGAGCGCAGCACCGCAGUGCGCAUCCCAUGGGCUGAGCGGGGCCCAGAGCCAUUCCCAAGCACUGAAGGGCACCUGAACUGCCAUGAAACGUAUAACAUUCAAAAAGAUUUAAGAAAGGAUGAAAAUUUAGUUUCCUGUCUCGCUCGGAAACGAACUUCUGCUGCAUGGCAGAAAGCUGCUUUUGCUGCGGCUCGUGCGGCUGUCUACGAA